AACGAACUAUGAGAGUUGUGUGGACACCAAAACCAGAGGUUAGCUAACAGAGUUCUCCUGUCUACGUGAAUUUGGCGCCCGGGAAAAGAAAAUUGGCUCCGCAUUUAUCUUGCAAAAUAAUCUGGUAGUCAUGAAGAUUACGGUUGACUGUGGCGCGCCAUUAAAAAUGACUUCUUCCAGUGGAAAAAUUGAUGGUACCUGUUGUUGCAGGGCGUCUGAGGAAACUUCAGCUCAGAAAAUUUUGAAUAAUGUUGAACAAGGCAUUUGCAAUUUUAAAGAAGAUGAAAAAGAAAGAGAAAAUGAAACAGAGAAAGAAUACGUUGGGAUGGCCUUCACGGAACAUGACGAUUUCACGCCACAUUUAUCAGACAGAAAGAGAAAUUCAUGUUAUCAGGAAAAUGUUACUCAAGAAGAAACUGAUGAAGAAAAUGUUUCAGGGAAAAAGCCCAAAUACGAAGCUCUCAAACAAUUCAUGGAAGCUGAAUGUGUUGAAAAUUCCCUUAAGGCUUGCCUGGAAGCUGUAGAAGAAUAUAACAGGAGAGAUGGACAGCUGAAAGAUAUGGAUUAUCACUUGGUUUUAGCAAAGGCAAAGUUGACGAUAGCACAGGCAGAAGGGGAGAAAGUUGUAGUGGCUAAAGGCCUGGAGCAGAUUACAGAGGGGUUGAAGUGGUUUAAGCUGAUAUGUGAUCAGCUGAAAGAGCUGGAGAAGCAAUUUGCUGACAGUAAACAGCGAGAGAGACAACAAAAAUCGAAGGGGAAACCGAAAGAUGAAAUUACUGAUAACUUGAAACAUACUAAGAAGAUGCUGGAGGAGAAAUUGGAGCAUCAGUGUGACCGGCUGAAGGAAAUCCAGAGAGAAUAUGGUCUGGUGAAGGCCGAGUAUGAAUUCGUGGCUGAAGAAAGAAGUAAAGUGUGGAAGAAGGAGUUGCAGGGGCUGAGGCAAGUUCUUAGGAAAUAUGAGGCUGCUUAUCGUAGAUUUAAUGAGGUGUUCGGGGGCGAAGAGGAGACAGGAGUGGAUCUUGAAUUUUCUGCAAUUGAAGAGAGUGCUUCCAAGCAGACUUUGGAUGUUGACGACACUCAGAAUUGCUCUAUUUGUAUGGAGCCAUGGACUCAGUCCGGGGAACAUAACAUCUGCUCUCUUGCCUGUGGGCACUUUUUUGGCAGGUCAUGUAUAACAAAAUGGAUUAAGCAACUUGGAUCUCGUUCUUCUAAGUGUCCGCAAUGCUCGAAAAAGGCAACACUACGAGACAUUAGAAAUCACUAUAUGCAGCAAAUAUCUCUUUGUGAUGUGAAGAUUCAACAGAACAAAAAGAUUCCUUAGAGAAGCUUGCAGACAGAGGCAUGGUGCUUGAACUGCGAUUUCUGGCUACAUUUCGUUCAUGUUUACGGGUUUGGGCUAGCUAGCUAUCAAUCCCCUUAUAGUAGAUUUUUUUUUUUUUUACAAUAGAAAAAUAUUCCAAAUGAGUGGAGACAAGAUUCUGAGUUGGUGCAUAUUCCAUGGUUAUGAUGUUGGUGUGGCCAAGAAUCUACUGUCCAAUUUUGCUACUUAGCAUCUUAAAGAAGCAUCUGUGCGAUGGUUCAAUAGCUUGACAAGGGAUUUUGAAUAUGUGAAUGGCGAUUUGAUUGAGAAAGACAGAUUUAUUAUGGACAAGGGGUUUCAUUGAGCCAAAAAGUUGCCUUUACUGGAAAGCCCUAGUGAAGAGAGCUAAGGUACAUAGGACAAUUGGCAUAUGUUUGAGAUAAUGAGUGGUUGGACAAGCUCCAAGAUCUUUUAGCAUAUCUUUAUCAAGUUGAGGAACCAAGUGGUAGAUGCAUUUGACUAUUUUCUUUGUUUUCUUUAUAACAAGUUUAACAAAACUCAUCUUCUCUAAGUGCUUCAGCAUGAGUAGAGUGCAAUGGGUUGCACAAGGAGUCUUAAAAAUAGAGUGAUGUUCUUGCAUAA